ACGGGAAUAGCUCAAUUGGCAGAGCACUGGACUCCAAAUCCAGGUGUUGGGGGUUCAAGUCCUCCUUCCCGUGCCA
rnacentral:tRNA from 1 species